UACAGAGGUCUCAAGCGUUUGUUCGGAUUCAUUGGGCGUAAAGGGUGCGUAGGUGGCGCGGUAAGUCGGGUGUGAAAUUUCGGAGCUUAACUCCGAAACUGCAUUCGAUACUGCCGUGCUUGAGGACUGGAGAGGAGACUGGAAUUUACGGUGUAGCGGUGAAAUGCGUAGAUAUUGUAAGGAAGACCAGUGGCGAAGGCGGGUCUCUGGACAGUUCCUGACGCUGAGGCACGAAGGUCAGGGGAGCAAAACGGG
rnacentral:rRNA from 1 species